rnacentral:rRNA from 1 species
UACGGAGGAUGCAAGCGUUAUCCGGAAUGAUUGGGCGUAAAGCGUCCGCAGGUGGCUAUGUAAGUCUGCUGUUAAAGAGUCUGGCUCAACCAGAUAAAGGCAGUGGAAACUACAUGGCUAGAGUGCGUUCGGGGCAGAGGGAAUUCCUGGUGUAGCGGUGAAAUGCGUAGAGAUCAGGAAGAACACCGGUGGCGAAAGCGCUCUGCUAGGCCGCAACUGACACUGAGGGACGAAAGCUAGGGGAGCAAACGGG